UAUUUAUCGAGUUAAUUUUGUCCUCUCGCCACAGCAUGAACCAACUGAGCCCUGACCCUGACUUGCCUCCUGCUCCCAGGCUGUGCCAGGCACAGGAUUGCCUCCUGUGGGGACGAGAGAGGUGCUUCAUGAUAUUGUGUGAGCUUCUAAUAAACGUCCAGUAAACCGCAGGUAGCGCCUCGGAGAGAGAUGGGCCCGUGCACCUGUCCACAUAGAGCCUCCACGCACCGCGCCUUCACCUUCUGCGGCCCAGCCCUGGCGUGCUCAGCUCCAGAGCCCAGCCUGCCCCUCGGGAUGCCCGCAGCUUGUUAUAUUCUUGGAGCCCUUCAGAUCUGGCUGGGGAUCAUCUUCUGGAAGACUGGCCCGCCGACCUCUUGCCAGGGAGCCGAGGACAAGAUUAGUUUUAAGCCUCAGCCUAGUCAGUUG